CCCCCGGCAGGCGUAGGGGGCACUGUUAGCGAGCCUGGGUGCGCAGCCCCCCUGUGCCGCCGCCCCGGGCAGUCGCGACCCAGCGGUGAGUCGUAAUUGGCUUCUGUGGCUUAGGCGAGAGCAGACUGUAUCGCGUGUUCAGAGAUGUGUGCUCCAAACUGUGCAGGAUUUCAGGAUGGUGUUGAAAUGCAAAAUGAAACCACGAAACAGCCCAAGCCUUAUGAACUUUUUCAUUUGUGAAGGUGGAAAAACAGUCUGCUUCACUAAAGAACUGAGAAGGAGAGAGUGGGUCUAGUUCCAGUACAUUCUUCUCAAAUAAACCUGAAGUUGAAACAUUUGGAAACUCCCUGCAUCAUGAGGCAACUUAAAAUGCUUUCCAAGGGUUUCUGAUUUGAUAACAAGAUGCAAAGAAGGGGAAUAGAAUGACAGACCUGUCAGUCUACCUGUAAAAAGAAGUCUUCUUUCUCUUCCCUGUGCUGACUUUUCCUUGUCAAACUUGUGUUUGCAGGUAGAGGGAUACAAGAGCAAUAAGCUGGUUUUUGUUUUUCUUUGCUUUGCUUUCUAUACACUCCCAAAUAUGAUUUUUUUUCCUAGCCUAGUUUUUUUCCUAGCCUAGGUUAAACUUCAGUUGUGGAAAUAAUAUUUCCAACAAACAUUCUGAAUCUCAGUAGAUUUUGCCCUGUAGCUUUACAGAGCCUUUAAUUCAGUCAAUAUGUGACAGUUUCAGUUUAGAGAAGGCAGAACAGAAUGCCUUGACCCAUAGCAAAGGGGAAACAAGAAGGGUCAGCCCUGAAGAACACCCAUUUUUAGAGGAUUCUUUGGCCUAAUGUAAAUUUAAAUUCAGAGAGAGGAAAAAUUAUUACAUUUUUUCUUGCCUCAGGGUGAAAUUAUUGGACUCCCAAGGAAGCUAGAUAGAUUUAGAAGAUUCAGGUGCUUUCAAACACCUAGUCAAUUUAUAGAUAGCAGUUUUUCAUAUAAUCCCAUGAUUGAAGAAUAAAUGAAUCUGACAGCCAGCACCUCAGUAAGUUUUGGAGAUUUUUUUCUCCUUUACCUGGGAUUUAGUGUUUUGAAGCAAAUCAGACUGUGCUACUUCUAUCAAUAUGCAUGCUGUACACUGAUCUUCUACGCAAAGACAAACACUUUCCAAGUGACCAGCUCACGUUGGAGCCACAGCCACCACUUCAGAGAGCAGAGGGAACAUGGAGUUAAACACCUGCUAAUUUAACUGUGUUGGUUUGCUUUGAGUGCAGUUCACCAUUGUCUAACCUUGCUAUCAGAGUUACUGAUGGCGUUCCCAGUCUCCUCCUAGGCUGCCUCUGUUGGUUUAGUGGCUGGACUCAGUCUGCCAGGAGGGGUGGGAGACAUUCAGGCUUCCCAGCUGUGGCAGGCCCCUGCCCCACAGCGCCUGCAGGACCCGGAUGGGGCAGGCAGGCACCCAGUGCCGGCCCCUGUGUUUGCUGCAAGAGCUGUUGUGCGACAAGGUUUUGGUAAUGAGGGAGCCAUAGGGGUGGCUUCUGUUCUGAGGAUGGACCUGCUGCUGGCCAAGGCCAAGCCCGUCAGCAAUGGUGGUAGUGCCUCUGGGAUUACAGAUUUAAGAAAGGGGAGAACUUCUGGAACAGCAGCCAGAGAGAGGAGUGAGAAUAUGCAGGAGGAACAGCGAACAGCUCUGCAGACACCAAGGUCGGUGCAGAAGGAGGGGCAGGAGGUGUUCCUGCUGCUAGAGCAGAUUCCCCUGCAGCCCGUGGUGCAGCCCAGGGUGAGGCAGGAUGGGACCCUGCAGGCCAUGGAGGCCCAUGGAGGAACAGAGAUCCACCUGCAGCCUGGGGAGGGCCCACACUGGGGCAGGUGGAGGUCUGAAGGGGGCUGUGACCCUGUGGGAAACCCGUGCUGGAGCAGGGGCCUGGCAGGAGCUGUGGCCCCGUGGAGAGAGGAGCCCACAGUGAGCAGGUUUGCUGGCAGGAGUGGUGACCCCAUGGAGAACCCACUCUGGAGCAGUGUGCUCCUGAAGGACUGCACCCUGAGGGAGGGACCCUGCUGGAGCAGAAGAGCUGAAACCCUGGGAAGGACUUACAUUUGGAAAGUUUGUGGAGACUGUCUCCUGUUGGAGGGACCCCACACUGGAGCUGGAGAAGAGUGUGAGGAGUCCUCCCCCUGAGGAGGAGGGAGCAGCAGAGAUGUGUGAUCACAGCCCUGAUUCCUCAUUCUCCUGCUCCACUGGGGAGAAGGAGAUAGACAAAAUCUGGACUGAGGUUAAACCUGGGAGGAAGGGAGGAGUGGACAGUUUAGGAUUUAGUUUUUGUUUCCUGUUACCCUACUCUGAUUUGAUUGGUAAUAGAAUAAUUUCCCCAAGCUGAGUCUGUCUUGCCUAUGAUGGUAAAGAUAAAAUGUCUCUCCCUGUCCUUUUCUCAGUCCAGGAGUCUUUCAUUAUAUUUUCUAUCCAACUGAGGAGGAAAGAGAUAUAGCAACUUUGGUGGGCACCUGACAUCCAGCUGGAGUCAAACCACCACACACCGUUGACACAAAAACCACUUUCCAGGCAGACUUCCUCCACUGUUAGCAGCCACUAAACCAAGGCAGACCUUCCACUUCUGGAUAUACAACUGGCUGCAUAAACCUCUCACAGAGAGCCAGUGUGCUCAUUCCAUCCAGCUGAGCUGCCUAAACAUAUCCCAUUGAAAGGGGCUGGUUUCCAGCUUGCUGUUUUCAGAGGGGCAACUUGGCUAUUCCAUUUACUGGGAAGCCUACCUGUCCCAGGGCAUAUUGCCCUGCUGAAAAUGCAGAGCUGCUCUAACAGGAGCUGUGGAUGGGUGGGAGUAGCUCGUGGCACAGCAAAACGUGCUGGUACGACGCAUGAGAGUGUACUGGCUGCAGGGCCUGGCUAUGACCCCAAGCAGAAGGGAUUUUAGGAGAGGACAAAAACAGUACCUGUUUUCUUGUACAGUGAAAAAAAAUAGCAACCAGCAGUAGUGCUAGCUAUCUUGUUGUUCCACAUUAUUAACACUCUUCGUUUUUCCCUGAUAGCAGGAAAAUUGUACAAAUGUAAAGUUUGAAUAGGUUGUCUCACUAAGACGGAAGUUAGGAACCAAGUUUCCAACUCCCCUAUUCAAGUCCUCCUUUACAAUGAUGUACUACUCUUUCUAGAAAGAGAAUGCACCAUGCAGUGCUUAAACUGUCUUUAAAAAGAAAAUACCAACAGUUUAUCUGAAUUAACACUAAAGAAGAGGAUUUACCCAGCUGUGGUCGGUUUUCAUUUUUUUCCUCAUGUUUACCUUUGGCUUCAUCUGAAUUCUUCCAUUUGCUUUCACUAGAGAUCUAAAAUUGUUACAUCUAGAGUAAGAAAGGCCCAACAAAAUCAGUGAGAAAAAUAAUGAUUAAAAGUAUGUUGUAUCCUUGACAUCUAGAACUGAUAUUCUCCAAAAGGAUAUGACCUCCUUUGCUCUUAAAAACCAUUAUAAAUUUUGUGAUGUUUUAAAAUUGGAUUCCUUUAUUGACUUCUUUCCACUGUAUUUUAUUCAAGGAUAGAAGGCCUGCACAAUUGUGUAGAAUGGUUUUGAUGGCAUCUUUGUGUAAAAAAAGUAAUUGUUCUUAUUUUUUAUGAAGGAAAAAGAAGAAAAGCUUAGAGGCUUUCUAUGCCUCUAAGCAAAACUUUGCUCUCACAAUCUAUGAAAAUAUUUUUGUGCUUCACUUCCCUAUAGAAAGUAUUCUUUAAUUCCAUCUAGUAGGUAUAAAUUACAGUGCUAUCUGAACAGGAAAAUUUUAAAAAUCUCAAUUUUGGACUAGCUAGAAAAGCAAAGAUGGAAUAAUUGUUCCAGGGAAAUAUUUAACAGUUUAAAAACAGAUUUUGAAGCACCAGAUUUUAUUCCAAAACUUGAUAUUUAUAUGUAGGUGAAAUCAAUAUGCUAGACUGGAGCCUCACAUUGUAUUGCUAUCGUCAUCAUCUGUUUGUAUUACCUGAGAGCCCUGGAGUCUCCAUUCAAGGUUAAUCAGUGUAUAAAAACCAGAUGUUCCCUGUCUCAAAGGAUGGAUACAGACAGGUUGCUACAAAGAAGCAAGAGAAUAGUGUUCAGCAGGAGAUCUUAUGGUAUCAGCACAGCACCACCAGAUGGAUAUGAUAUCAGUAAAAGAACUUGGAGGUGGACAAUAAAUUAGAAAUAUCUCUGCAGAAGAUUCACCAUGGUCGAAGGGGGAAUACAUGGACUAAGCCAUAAGUUUGAAAGCAUUGUGUGCAGAAGUUAUGGUAGAUGUACAGGAACAGCAGAGUUCAGGAAAAAAUCACUCUCCAAAGUUUAUGAAGCUUAUUAGUGAUCCAAUAUAAAUUUAGAAUGGAGUUCAGUGCUUCUUGUUUUACUCAAACUCUACCAAUUCUGUUCAUGACCAAUACUCAGAUACUCAGAAGAGAUCACAGAGUCACAGAAUGGUUGAGGUUUGAAAGCAUCUGUGGAGGCCAUCUGGUCCAGCACCUUUGCUCAAGCAGGGACAUCAACAACCCUUUGUCCAAGAACAUAUCCAGAUAAUUUUUUAAUACCUCCAGUGAUGAAUACCUCCACAAGAUCUCUGGGCAACCUGUCCAGUACUUGGCCACCCUCACAAGGAAACUCCUGCAUUUGACUUUGUGCCCAUUGACAGGACCUUUGCUCUGGUCUUGUCCCUUGCCACCACUGAAAAGAGCCUGGCUGCUUCUUCUGUAUACCUUUCCUUCAGGUACUUACACACAUUGAGAAAAUCCUUAUGAGUUUUCUCUUCUCCAGGCUGAAUGGUUCAUAUUCUCAGCCUUUCUUGAUAUGAGGGAUGCUCCAGUUUGAGUAUAUUAAUCUUCCUAGUGGUGAUGCACUUGACUCCUUGCACUAUGUCCAAGUCUCCCUUGCACUGGGGAGCUCAGCAAUGAACUCAGAACUCCAAGUGCAGUUUCCCCAGCAUUGAGUAGAGCAAAAGGAUAAUAUCCCUUGACCCACUGGUAACACUUCUAACACAGCCCAGGACACAAGUUGCUGUUACAAUGAGGGCUGUUCAGUGUUUGACAGUACUAAAAAAAAAAUGUGCUUGAGAUUUUUACUUUUAAACUUGAUUUUUUAAAAAUUAUGUUUUGUGAGUUUUUAAGGGGAAGAUAUUAAAUCUAUACUAGACCAAGAGGAAUACAAGGUCCUUAGAUAUGGGAUUAUAAACCAGUCCUUUAAAGGGCCAUUUGAUAGCAAACUGCCACUCCAUAAUAGGUUUUUAUCAACAGUUAGAAAAAAGUGAAAAGUAUAGAAAAGUCAUAGAAUCAUAGAAUAUGCUGAGUUGGAAGGCACCUGCAAAAUUCAUGAAGUCCAAAUGCUGGCCCUGCACAGGACACCUCAGGAGUCACGCCAUGUGCCUAAAAAGCAUUAUCCAAAUGCUUCUUGAACUCUGACAGGCUUGGUACUGUGACCACUUUGCACAGAUGCAAGUGCUCAAACACCCUCUUGGUGUAAAGCCUUUUCCUUUUAUCCAACCUAAACCUCCCCUGAAAUAACUUCAGGUGGAGCCACAUUUCUCUUCAUAGAGAAAAGGAAGGAACAACUUCCCAAGGAUAUUUUCUGGGAUUCACAUUCUCUGAACCUCAGAGAAAGAAAAAACAAUUCUUAUCUCAAUUGCUGCGCUUCUUGUUGUUCACAAGUGGAAUGCAUUGAGGAAGAUUGUUUACCUGAAGGGAAUUGGUAAUUGGAUUCUGGUGUGAGUGUUUUGAUUUAUUGACCAAUUGAAUCCAUGUGUGUGUCAUGCUGACAGUCACAAGAUUCUAGGCAGUUGAGUGCUUGGUGCAGAUUCAGUGUAAUAUAGUAUACAAUAAUAUGGUGUACUAAAGUAAUUAAUUAGCCUUCUGAUAUUAUGGAGUCCUCCUUGUCAUUCCUCUCCCGGACGUCAGGAGUGCCCUGCUUUUCCCACACUUCAGGCCAUUUCAUUGGGUCCUAUCACUGGUCAUGAAGAGGUCACUACCUGACCUUCCAUUUCCCUUGUGAGUAUGUUGAAAAGUGCAGUGAGGUGUCCCCUCAAUCUCCUGCUGAACAAAUCAAGUGUCCUCAGCCACUCCUCACACAGAUUUACCUCAAAGCCCUUCACCAUCCUUCUUGUUCACCUUUGGGCACUCUCUAAUAAUUUAACAUCUUUCUUAUAUGGUGGUGACCAAAACUUCACACAGCAUUCAAGGUGAGGCCACUCCAGUGCAGAGCAGAACAGUACUGUCCCCUCCCUUGCUACCCCCUGGUCCCUUUCCAUAAAGCUGCUCUGGCCUCUCAUUCCUCAGUCUACGCACACAACCAGAGUUGCCUCAUCCCAAGUGCAGAAUCUGGCACUUUUCCAUGUUAAACUUCAUAUGGUUGGUGAUUGCCCGUCUCUCUAAUUCGUCAAGGUCUCUCUGUAGGGCCUCUUUGUUCUCAAGGGAAUUGGCAGCUCCUCCCAAUUUAGUGUCACUGGCAAACUUAAUACAAUUUUGAAUACUAAGUUACAUUAAGGGAAAAAGCAAAAUGCUCCUUUUGAGAUCAUCCAUGCUGUCUUUAUUAUCAACCAUACCAAGGAUUUAUUGUCGCAUUAAUCUUCUGUGAAAGGAAAAUAAACAGUGUGUUAAAAGGUGAAGUGGAUUAUUCCUGAUACUGAAAAAUGUUUUCAAGACAUUUUUGAAAUAGUAAGUGCCUUUCACAGCUCACUGACCACAGUUUUUGCAAGUGAAACUAGUAGCUUUUAGGUCACAUGAACUAAUAUACAGUGGUAGCUUUUACAACUUCUUAUACUUUGCCAUAUUUAUCUCUCCAAAAUAUUUCAGAAUGUAACACAUUCAGUUGUAAAUGUUGAUCUCUGUUUAGUCAGAAUGAUUAAGUUAUGGUCAUUGUAGCAUGACUCAUUGCUUCUGAAUAGGAACAUUUUCACAAUAUUAUCUUUGUUAUGAAGUGCAGUUAUGAUUCACUUCAUUCCAAGUCUUCUUCAAGUGAGGAUAGUUAUGAUUACAUUUGGAGUACUUCAUGCUACUUGGUGAUUUACUGGUAGUGAGCUCACUACUUACGCUGUUACUUUCUAAAGGAGGAAAAUAAAAGAAAGGUUGACUGCAUUCCUUAGAGAUUGGUACUGCCAAAACCAUAUGUUUUCAUUAGCUGCAAAUUAACCUCCUUAGAGGAAAAUUCUUCAAAAAUUCUCUCAGAAUCUUUCCACAAAGAACAGGAGGUUGCUGACUCAUUUGGCCUUGUACAAGGUUCUGACAAAGACACAGGUUAAAGUCAUAGGCAGAGUUUCGCUCUUCAAUGGAGCUUUGAUUUUACGUAUGUCACUAGCUCUGAAGGAAGAUUGCAAUAAAAGAGUUGCUAUAAAACUUGUCCCAGUUGAGCUGAAUUAUCUGAGCUGGUGUUUGAAAUAGAACAGCUGAGCCCAGCUUGUGUACUAAUAUGGGUAUCUGGUGUUCUUGCAUCUGUGUGUGACCUAACCUGGCUUUUUGCUUUGUUGACCUUGUACACUAUGUUCAGUGUUUCAAAGGUAGCUCAAUAUCCAAUAUACUAUUUCUAUCCCUUCAAAAUGCUGUUCUAAUAGUAAAGAGAAAUAAAAUCUUCUUAAUGAUUUUUUUAAUCAUAGAGCCAGCAGCAUCAACUGAAGUAUAUGUUUUAGACAACCCUAAAUAGAUUUAUUUUAGUUAGUCUAUAAAAGUAAAUAAAUGUAAAUAUGCUAUCAAUUUUAAAGCAUACUGAUAUACACUUUUUUUUUUUUUUGCAAAGUGAGAAUGUGAGUCUUGAAACAAUCAAAGCAUUCCAGGUGUGCUUGAAAAGGAAAGGUUUUGACCUUACCAAAAAGCAACAUUUCAUCUUUUUCUUCCUCAAAAUAAACAGACACAUUGACAGACAUCAAGGGAACUGCUGAAUUUUAAAGAUGUCAUAUUUUCUGAGAGAAAAAUAACAUUCCUGACUGUGAUUUUUUGACCACUACUCCUUCAGAUCUUUUAAUGUGCAAUUUUAAUGUCAGAGAGAUGCCUAUGCUUGCCUUAUGUAAAGCAUGCCUAAUAUACAAGUUAGCUCUGCAUUGGUUCUGCCUUCUACAUAAUGAGUCAAUUCAAGAAGGAGUUGCAUUUGUAAUUUACAUGUACCAGAAGGUGUGAGCAUGGACUGAACUGUCUUUCUUUCACAGAAUCAUGUUCGCUUUCUCUUCAGUUCACUUCCAUGUCACUUAGGCUGUAGCUUAAUUUUUAUAAAUUUCAUACUGGGCACAUCUUACUUAACCUCACCAAGUAAUAGGGAGCAACUUAAUCAGUUUAGCUGCCUCAGAUUUCUAUGGGAAUGAAAAGGCUAUGUUUCUUCAGUUGUUUCCAUUAAUAAAAAAAAUUUAAAAAUCAAAAUUAACACCUCACUGUUGAACAUACAGAAAGGGACCUAGUCAUAACGUUGAGGCAAUCAAGAAAUUCUUUUGCAAUGCAGUUUGAUAGCAGAAAGUCCACAGCUCUUUAAAUAGCAUUUAAUCUACAGAAGGUAUUUCAUCUAUGUAGGGCAAUACAUACAACUACACCUGCAGCAGUUCUGGACAUCUCAUUACACAAGAAACAGGGACAGAUUGAAAGAAAUCCAGGGUAGCAAAACAAAAGUGAUAAUUCACUUGCGAAACAGACUUACAGAAAUAUUAGAAGGGCUAAAUACAUACAAGUUAAGCCACAGAGGAAGUAAAUUGAGACAGAAUUCCACUGCUAUUUAAAUAAUGCAGAGACAGGAGAUGGACAUAUGACAUAUUUGUUUGCCUGGUCUUAACUUUAACAUAGCCAAAUUGAGUUUAGAGCCACAAAGGAAAUAUUUAAGACAAUGCAAUAAAGUCCUCAGCUGUCUCACUCAAAGUACUGGGCUGUGCUGAACCUGGAUAUAUCACAUCAAGAUGCAGAGCUAAAAGAAAAUGGACUCCAAUAUAACCAACCCCCUCCAAACUUCAAAAACCCUACCACAAUUCAGAAGCAAAACAAAGAACUGCCAGAGUAAAGCUCCUCAGCUGCACAAUGGAGGCAAUUUCUUGCUCACACAAAUUAAUUUCUAUCACCUAAGAUUUUGAUCUAGUUGUUUUCUUAAAACAUUGCUGCCAGCAUGGUAAAGUGCUGUAGUGAUCUUUUCUUCUAUUGAUUGAAUAAAGCUUCCUUCUCAGGAGGUACUGACAAUAAAAUAGCAAAUAAGUUUUAUUUUCUAGAGAGCCUUCAAACUCUCAUUUACAGAGUAAAAAACCCACAUUCUUGGGACAUAUACAAUAACAGAGCAAACAUCACUGCAUCCUGAGGGUUUAUCCCUUCAAGUUCCAAAACUUUAUUCCUUCCAGUCCAAAUGCUAGCUGCACUGAAAAAUUUGUCUUAGUACAGAGAUGUUGAGAAAAGUUUUGUAAGAGGAAGAUACUAAAGCUACACAUUAUUCCUUAUACACAAUUUAUCUAGGAGCCUUUCUGCAUCCUGAAAAAUUCUGAAUCUUCACAAGGUUCAUCUCCAGAGUUCUGAAAAGCUCUAACUUUUAAAACAUCAUCAUAUAGAAAGUGUUUGCUGAAAUAUAAUCAGUACAACAUCAAUAAGAAUACAUUUUCUAAAAAAUGUUUUAAAAUAUUUUCUAGUAAUGGCCGUUACUUUAGAAGAAUUCUCUUGUCAUGAGGAUGUGAUUAAUUCCUUCUAUUUUGCCUCUCAGAGAAGAAUUCAUAAUGUCAUAUUUCUUUUCAGAGUCAGAAAGAAAAAGAGCUAAAUCCUUCCGAUCUUAUUGCAGUCAUGGGACCAGAUGCCCCAGAAGGAUAGCAAUAAUCUGAUCCAUAGUUGUGCUGCUUUCCUUUUUUCUGCAAGUACCCUCUCAUUUGUGGGAUUUACCAAAGGUAAUCAAUAAACAUUACAGUGAUCCUAUAUUAGCUUUGCAUAUUAGCUUACUAGGUGAAGCAGAAAUACUAAUAAUAAUUAAAACAAUGCUCUAUUCCAAUCAGCAGUUUGUAGCGAUGGUGGCAUUUAUUCAAAGUAUACAGAAAUGUGACUCAGUUCUCCUUGCUGAGAAGUUCUGCCAUGAUUAUUAAUUGUUAUUUUAUCAUAACAGGAAAUUUAGCUUAAAGCAAACGUAUAAAUUAAAGCCCAGAUAUUGAAGGAAGAUGUCAUAAUGAUAAGAGAAUUGCACUUAAAGGCAGGCAGAUGGGAGAUGCUCAGGGGGGCUGCUCAGCAGGACAGUGUACAAGUGAGUCCUGCUUGCACAGACUGGACAUCUGUGUGUGGCAGCUCAGCUCUGUCUCUCCAGAAAGGAGGCCCUAAGCUAAUGAAAACUGCUGCCAACAGCAGCCUACACAAACCCAUUUGGCUGCCAAGCUGCAACAACAUCAGGCUGUGAAGUUGUUUUUCCCUGUUGUUGCCAGACUUAUGAAGGGACUAUCACUUUAAUGCCUUUUUUUAAUUUUAAUUUUUUUCUAACCACAAAUUAGCAAAUAUCUAUUUUCUUUUAAUUUACUGUGACAAGACCUGUGGGGCACCACUGCCAACAACACAUAGAGCUCUACAUCUGCAUUUUUAUUUUACAGAGGAAUAAAACCCAAACAAAAAUAAUAAUCAGUGAAUACAUAUUUUCCUGUUACAAGCUAGGUUGGCAGUAGUCUUGUUUUCUAUGACAAGCCUUCAUAAACAGUCAGGAGAGACAGCUGUGCUCAGAAUUGUGCACCUGUAGCACAAGUCCUCUCCCUCUUCCAGCUGAUUAGGGGCAAGAAGCUUUAAACAAGGAAAAAAAAUAUUGGCAAUGGUUUUUGAUUCCAUAAAAAAGAAUAGAAACAUUAAACAUACUGAGCACUGUCUCAAAGCUUAUUAGAAAGACUUAUCAGCUUCAAAGCAAUUUAGAAGUACACACAUUAUGUAGUACAUUCACUGUCAACAAGCAAUCAUACUGCCUCAAGUUGAGAAAUCACAGAAGUGAAGACCAUCAGUGGGGAAAUGAAGCCAGCUAGAGCCUGGAUGAGAAAGGAGGAGAGAUAAAGACAAUUUAUUGACUUAACUGAAAUGACACUGAAAAUUCAAUGCCUGUUUUCAGCUCUAAGAUGUUUUGAUGCAAAUGCCAUAGGUUGCUAGCCUGCAUUAUUUUAGGGUAUGACCGCUAGUAUGGAUCCUGUUGCUGAGGAGCCUAAAUGUUUAUAGUAUCCAAAGAGCCCCAAAUAUGCCUUUGUAAUUUUAUAAUGGUCAUUAUCAGUAUUAGGUCACUGAGGUGAGAUGCAUGCUAAUUUUUUCCCCAGAAGUUCUAUUUUCGUGUUAUUUUUAAAGAAGUGUGUAUUAAAAACUGUUGUUCCUCUUUAUUGGGUCCCAGUAGAAUUACUUGUGGCCUUAACUUCCUUGGGGAAUAGGUAGCCCAUUUAAAAAUAAAUCUCUCUUGCUUCAAUUAA